GAUUUUGAAUUUAUAUCGAUCUGCCAGGACCUUAUCUCAUUAUGUACAUGCACAGUCCAUUACACCAAGAUGCCUGGCCGGAGUUAGCGGUCUAAAGUCUGGCUAAACUUUACAAAGUUAGAUGCAAAUUUAUCAAAAUGCGACACGUGUGGUAAACAAAUCUCGAGCAAGGGAGGAACGACAAUAAGCAUAAGGAAGCAUUUGUUUUUACACGGGGUUAAUUUAAAAGAAUGCACCGUGUUCAACUCUCCCAGCGCCAGCGAGUCCAGGGACAAUGAGCCAGAAGCAGCUAGCGGUAGCAGAACUAGGUUAGGUACAAAGCAAAGAUGACAGGACAUUCACCUCCAACUUAGAGCUGAGUCAUUUUGAAUACAUUACGAUAAAUUUAUUGUUACCAACUAUUAUGAUCUAUAUUUUUGUUUGAAGAGACACCAUUCACUUUAGCAACGAAGGGACAGAUGAGCAAGGAGAAACUCAAUGAAUGUCACAAGGCAGUGACAAGAUUUGUGGUGAAGGGAUUACAUCCUUUUGCUACAGUUGAGUCGCCAUCGUUUAGGUAUGCAAAAUGUAAUGGCGAUUAUAGGGUCUCAGUUUUUCAGACUAAUAUCAAUGGACUAGGACCACUAGAGCUGAUAUCGAUAUUCUUCUGUGUGUCAAAGCACAUCAGAAACAAUAUAUUUUACAGUAAACUAUGGUUAGAUAGGUGUAGUAUUAAGUGCACAUUUUCUUUGCAGGGAUAUGACCAAGACCCUAAAUCCCAAAUACAACCCACCCUCCAGGGAUGCUAUGUCCAAUCAUUUGAUCCCAGCCUGGUACAACAUAGAAAAAGGAAAAAUAAAAUUAGAAUUGGAAAAUGUCAGCAGAAUUGCAGUUACCAGUGAUUGCUGGACAAGCAUUUGCCAGGAUCAUUACAUUACAGUCACAGCACAUUACAUCACAUCACAGAUGGAAAGAUGAAACAGAAAGUCCUUAAAACAAAGUCAGUGUACAGAGCACAAACGGGAAGUGGUAGCAGAAGAAAUUGGGGACAUUUUAGAUGAAUUUGGGAUAAGAAGCAAAGUUGCAGUUAUCACAGUGGAUCAUGCCUCUAACAUGAAUGUGGCAGCACAAAAGCUUCAUCUCCUUAAAAUAGACUGUUUUGCACAUGCCCUAAAUCUUGGGGCUCAAAGUGUGUACACAGUUUCUUCAGUGGCAAAAUGGCCAUCAAAAAUCCGUGACGUGGUUGUGUGGAUGAAGAGGUCAACCAUGGCCAAGACUGUGCUUCGAGAGAAGCAACAGAUUCUGAACCUGCCCCAGCACUCCCUCCUUCUUGAUGUCCGAACUCGCUGGAACUCUCUUUAUUUUAUGCUUGAGAGGUUCCUUGAGCAGUAUCCUGCAGUUCAGGCAGCCUCUUUGGAUCAACGCCUAAGAAAGCCAAUGGAGAGGGACAGACUUGCUAGAGUAACAGAUGAGGACAUAAGAAAAGCAGAGGAUUUUGUCAAUCUCAUGCAAGUAAUGUACACAUCCACACUCUGCGUCUCUACUGAGAAGAGUCCAACCUGCGGCCAGAUCAUUCCCAUACUGCAAAAGUUAGAAGCACAUUUCACUGUGCAAGAAGGAGACACAGUGUUUGUGUCUACUCUAAAGACAACUGUCUGGUCAAAUCUAUCCCAGCGUUAUCAGGUAAAAAUAAUCAUUUAGAUUAAUAUAACUUUUACAGUAAUUUUAUUAUUCAGUCACACUUUAUGUGGGAUGUCUUUACUAUGCACUUACCUGUACAUAUUGUGUUCAUAUUGUUUUGCAUGCUAUUUGCAUGUUAGGGGUGAUAUAGUGGCAUGUUUUGAUAUAAUGGUAGGUUCAGGGUCAACAAGAGAAGGGUCAACAGUGGUAGAUUAUAGAAAUUAAUGACAAUGUAAAAACAUAAAAAAAUACUUUGUAUCAAAUGAUUAAUAUAAAUGAAGAAGAAACACAGAAGGUUAAGACACCUAAUAGGAUCUAUUCUAACUAUAUCUGCAUUUAAUGGAGUGUCGAUGUCAGAGCCUUCCUUGAAGAGGCAACUGCACUUGAUCCCCGGUUUAAGCAUAAAGUGGAGGAUGAUGAUGCAGUCUAGAACCAGAUAAAGGAAAAAGUGCUGGGAGCUGUAGAUCCUAUGGAAACUGAACAGCUGACAGAGCAUGGCUAUAGUGAGGAGGGCAUGGGGACAAGCCAGCAGCAUGAAGAUGAAGAGGCGAGUGAAGAAAGCAAGGAUGAGAUGACCAGUGCAGUGCUUCAGAAAUGCAAGAAGGCCAAAAUGACUCCAUUGGAGGAGCUUUUUGCAGAAGAUGAGGCUCAUAAACAGAACCAGAUUCAGAGCACCUUGUCCAUCCAGGAAAAAUCCUACAAAGAACUGGAGAUGUAUAGAGAAGUGCUGCCUCUACUGACAUCUCAAGACCCUGCACUCUGGUGGUGGAGCAUGAAGGAGACAUAUACUCACUUGUCUGACCUAGCCCUCUCAUACCUUUGUGCACAGGCCUCUUCUACCCCCAGUGAAAGGGUUUUUUCUACUGCUGGGGAUACAGUUAGCUAGAGAGAUCACGCAUCCUUCCAGAGAAGGCAGACAUGCUGAUCUUUCUUCAAAAGAAUUGCUGACUUUUGACGUGUUUCAUUGACUUGUUCUAUUUGUUUUACUUGUUCUAUUUUCAAAUCUGAGCAGUUUUGGUUUGUAGAUAGUUCCAUAAUGAAAGUGUUAUUUUCAU